AGUGAACGCUGGCGGUAGGCCUAACACAUGCAAGUCGAACGGCAGCACAGUAAGAGCUUGCUCUUACGGGUGGCGAGUGGCGGACGGGUGAGGAAUACAUCGGAAUCUACUUUUUCGUGGGGGAUAACGUAGGGAAACUUACGCUAAUACCGCAUACGACCUACGGGUGAAAGCAGGGGAUCUUCGGACCUUGCGCGAUUGAAUGAGCCGAUGUCGGAUUAGCUAGUUGGCGGGGUAAAGGCCCACCAAGGCGACGAUCCGUAGCUGGUCUGAGAGGAUGAUCAGCCACACUGGAACUGAGACACGGUCCAGACUCCUACGGGAGGCAGCAGUGGGGAAUAUUGGACAGUGGGCGCAAGCCUGAUCCAGCCAUACCGCGUGGGUGAAGAAGGCCUUCGGGUUGUAAAGCCCUUUUGUUGGGAAAGAAAAGCAGCAGGUUAAGACCCCGCUGUUCUGACGGUACCCAAAGAAUAAGCACCGGCUAACUUCGU
rnacentral:rRNA from 1 species